rnacentral:rRNA from 1 species
AUUGAACGCUGGCGGCAUGCUUUACACAUGCAAGUCGAACGGUAACAGGCCGCAAGGUGCUGACGAGUGGCGCACGGGGGAGUAAUGCAUCGGAACGUGCCCAGUCGUGGGGGAUAACUACUCGAAAGAGUAGCUAAUACCGCAUACGAUCUAUGGGUGAAAGCGGGGGACCGUAAGGCCCCGCGCGAUUGGAGCGGCCGCUGUCAGAUUAGGUAGUUGGUGGGGGAAAGGCUCACCAAGCCAACGAUCUGUAGCUGGUCUGAGAGGACGACCAGCCACACUGGGACUGAGACACGGCCCAGACUCCUACGGGAGGCAGCAGUGGGGAAUUUUGGACAAUGGGCGCAAGCCUGAUCCAGCAAUGCCGCGUGCAGGAAGAAGGCCUUCGGGUUGUAAACUGCUUUUGUUCGGAACGAAACGGCUCUGGUUAAUACCCGGGUCUAAUGACGGCACCGUAAGAAUAAGCACCGGCUAACUACGUG